AUUGAACGCUGGCGGCAUGCUUUACACAUGCAAGUCGAACGGUAACAGGCCGCAAGGUGCUGACGAGUGGCGAACGGGUGAGUGAUGCAUCGGAACGUGCCCAGUCGUGGGGGAUAACGCAGCGAAAGCUGUGCUAAUACCGCAUACGAUCUAUGGAUGAAAGCGGGGGACCGUAAGGCCUCGCGCGAUUGGAGCGGCCGAUGUCAGAUUAGCUAGUUGGUGGGGUAAAGGCCCACCAAGGCGACGAUCUGUAGCUGGUCUGAGAGGACGACCAGCCACACUGGGACUGAGACACGGCCCAGACUCCUACGGGAGGCAGCAGUGGGGAAUUUUGGACAAUGGGCGCAAGCCUGAUCCAGCAAUGCCGCGUGCAGGAAGAAGGCCUUCGGGUUGUAAACUGCUUUUGUACGGAACGAAACGGCCUGGGUUAAUACCCUGGGCUAAUGACGGUACCGUAAGAAUAAGCACCGGCUAACUACGUGCCAGCAGCCGCCGUAAUAC
rnacentral:rRNA from 1 species